GGGUUUUUAAAAACGCUUAAUUUUCUUGUACCAUAUAUUUGUUUCAUAUUUGUUCCAUUUUCUGUUUACAAAAAAUCCCAUAGAGAGAAAAACCACAUAUCCUGCAAAACUUCCGUUGCCGUAAGAAACCUAUAAUGGCCGAUUCCACUCUCAAAUUGGGGCAACAGAAAUUCCGAGCAAACCCUAACCCUUCCUUCCAUAAGAGCUUUUCCAUUCAAAAACCCAUUUCUAGCGCCUAGAAAACAGCCACGAUGAUCCCCGACGAUGCCGUUGAAGCAACGGUUGCAAAACCGAAAUGAAGCGCUUUCCAACAAGAGAGGGUGAUGAUGAAGUCACGAAACGAGAUUUACCGGAAUCAACACUUUGAAGGAGGGAAAACUCACCGGAUCUUACCUCCAACUCUUUUACUGGAAAUUUACCUGCAAUGCAACUGAAGCAACCUAUUACAGUUUAUGCGAGGACGUGUACCUGCAGAUCAACUCCUUUUUGAUCCUGAGAUUGAAAGGACUGCGCGUAGAGAGAAUAACAAAACUCGUAGACGGAGACAACUAGCCAGGGAAAGAAGACAACAACAAGAAGCAUCUUCUUCUUCAACCCCGGUUGAAAACUUAGUUGAGGAAGAAAUGGCUGCGGAUCCUAAUGGUCCACCUCGAGGGCCUUGUGUUAAUAGCCCUCGUCUGAAUGCACAAUUUGCUCGUGAUCAAGCCAAUGGAAGGAACUCCGAAAUGAAAACGGGGUUACUUCAAUUAUUAUACCAGAAUCCUUUCACAGGAGCAGAUCACGAGGAUCCUUUUACUCAUCUAACAAAGUUCUAUGAGAUCGCCGGAACCAUCAGUGCUCCAGAGGCCGAAGAAGAACAGGUUUUUUAGGAGACUAUUUCCUCAUUCCUUGAUAGGAAAAGCUAAGGAAUGGUACCUUGAUCAACCAAACAAUGUCAUGAUUAAUUGGAACGAGUUAGAAGAGAAAUUUCUGGAUCGGUUCUUUCCGCACAAUAGGUUCAUGGAAGCGAAAACUUCUAUUGCGGUGUUCUCUCAAGGUCCGAAUGAAGCUCUCAAUGAAGCGUGGGAGAGGUUCAAGUCUAUGGUUAGAAAAUGCAAAGGGCAUGGAUUUGAUGAAUUGACUCAAAUCCAUAUCUUUAGAAAUGGACUUCAACCACAACCGAAAACACUUUUAGAUGCUACCGCGGGUGGAUCUUUGAUGUCAAAAACUGCUGAGGAAGCAAUUGCUAUCAUUGAUAGAAUGGCUUUGAAUGAUCAUCAAGGACAACACAAUCGUAGUACAUCGCAAAGAAAGUUGGGAGUUCUUGAGUUGAAUACUAGUGAUGCAAUACUUGCUCAAAACAAGUUAUUGACUCAACAAGUAGAAUUGCUUACUCAACAAAUGUCAAAACUCCCUAAACAAAUCAAAGUGAUAAAUGGGAUCCCUACUAAAAAUCAACAAGUAAUGUGUUGUGAAUUGUGUAGGGGUGACCAUCAAACUGGUUUUUGUCCUCCACCUGAUGAAGAAGUGAAUUAUGUUUCAAAUCCUAAUCAAGGAUAUGUGGGGCGACAACAACAGCCUUACAACAAUAACCAAGGUUACCAACAAAGAGGUAAUCAAGGUUAUCAACAAGGAUGGAGGUCGGAUGCGGGUCCAUCGAAUCGUCAAAAUCCCUAUCAAGGUGGUUACAAUCAACAACCUCAACAAACAAAGCUUUCAAUAGAGGACACUCUUAGCCAAUUCAUGCAAUUGCAAAUUGCAAGCCAAAAGAGUACGGAUGCGGCCAUAAAGAAUCUUGAAACUCAAGUCGGGCAAUUGUCAAAACAACUUGCCGAUCAAAACAAAGGACCUUUUCCGGCCACUACUCAAGAGAAUCCUCGCGAGCAUUGUAAGUCCAUUCUAACUCGUAGCGGUAGAAAUAUUGAUAUGGGUGUAGGAGAAAUAGUUGAGGAAGAAAUUGUUGAAAGUGAAAAAGAUGGAGUGAUUGAAGUAGAAAAAAAUGUUGAGGGUGAUUUAGUUGAAAAUGAGAAAGAGAAAGAAUUAGUGGAAAAAGAAAAUCCGGAAAUAGAAGUGGAAAAAGAAAGAAAAAAAUUGAGUGUGAGUGAAAAGGCGAAGAUGAAAGAGAACUCAAUUCAUGUGAAAAAAUUACCUUACCCUCCCGGUCCGUCAAAGAAAGAAGAUGCAAAGCAUUAUGCUCGAUUCUUGGACAUUUUUAGUAAGUUGCAAAUAAAUGUUCCUUUUUCCGAGGCAUUAGAGCAAAUGCCGAUGUAUUCGAAAUUUAUCAAAGACAUCAUUACCAAAAAGAGAAGAUUCUUGGAUUCGGAAGUAGUAACGGUUAGCUCUUGUUGUAAUGCGUUAAUUCAACGCACUACACCGAUUAAAUCAAAUGAUCCUGGACGGGUAACCUUGCCGGUGUCUAUUAGAAAUGUUCAUAUAGGCAAAGGUUUGGUAGAUACCGGUUCUAGCAUUAAUUUGAUCCCAUUGUCUAUGGUGAGAAGGUUAGGAAUUAAUGACUUGAAGCCAAGUCGAAUGACGUUAUCAUUAGCGGAUAAGUCCACAACUCAUCCUCAUGGAGUUGCGGAAGACUUGCUUUUCAAGGUUGACAAAUUUUGGUUUCCUGUUGAUUUUAUCGUCAUAGACAUGGAAGAAGAUCCUAAUAUACCAUUGAUCUUAGGAAGGCCUUUUAUGAAGACGUCCCGAAUGAUGAUAGACAUUGAUGAUGGCUUAAUGAAAUUACGGUACCAAGACGAGGAAUUAUAUCUUGAUCUCUUUGAAGCCAUCAAGCAUCCGAGUGAUGAUGAUGAUUGUUUUAGAAUCGAUGCUACAGAAAAAGCUAUUAUGAAAGUGGAGAACCAAAUGCACUUGUCUAAUCCUCUUGAGAAAACUUUGAUGGAAGCUCUUGAAGUGCUCACCAAAGAUCAAGAGAAAGAAAUUGAAGAUUGCUUGAGAAAUCUUGAGGCUUGUGAUGAGAUAAAUCCAUUUGAAACUCAAAUUGAAGAAUUGAGAGAUGAGCCUAAAGUUGAAGAGCCAAAGGUGGAGUUGAAUGUGUUACCGUCUCACUUGAAAUACGUGUUUCUCGGUGACAAUUUCACUAAGCCAAUUAUCAUUAAUAGUGGUUUGUCUAGCAAGGAAGAGCAUCGAUUGAAGGAAAUAUUGAUAAAGAAUCAAGAAGCAAUAGGAUGGGUUUUAUCCGAUUUGAAGGGUAUUAGUCCGGCCUAUUGUAUGCAUAAGAUUAUGUUAGAAGAUGAUUUUCGGCCCGUGGCACAACCUCAAAGGCGAUUGAAUCCAACCAUGAAAGAAAUGGUUAGAAAAGAGGUUGUGAAGUUAUUAGAGGCGGGGAUGAUUUAUCCUAUCUCCGAUAGCGAAUGGGUGCGUCUGGUACAUGUAGUUCCGAAGAAAGGUGGAUUGACGGUUGUGAGAAAUGAAAAGAACGAAUUGAUCAUUUCGAGAAUGGUGACCGGGUGGCGUAUGUGUAUUGAUUAUCGGAGGUUGAACCAAGCUACAAGAAAGGACCAUUUUCCAUUACCAUUUAUGGAUCAAAUGUUAGAGAGGCUAGCCGGAAGAAAUUUCUAUUGUUUCCUGGAUGGUUAUUCAGGAUACAAUCAAAUAACCGUGAAUCCGGCGGACCAUGAGAAAACUGCUUUUACAUGCCCCUUUGGCAUUUUUGCUUACCGCAGAAUGCCAUUUGGACUAUGUAAUGCUCCUGCAACAUUUCAAAGGUGCAUGCAAGCUAUUUUCUCAGAUUUGAUCGAGAAGAGCAUCGAGGUAUUCAUGGAUGAUUUUUUUGUGUACGGGUCGUCUUUUGACUUGUGCUUGAAGAAUCUUGAUGUGGUGAUGGAGCGGUGUAUUGAAACAAAUUUGGUUCUAAACUGGGAGAAGUGUACUUUCAUGGUAACGAAUGGGAGGGUUCUUGGCCACAAGGUUUCUUCAAAAGGACUUGAGGUCGAUCCUGCAAAAAUAGAAGUUAUUGAGAAGCUUCCCUCUCCGGUGAAUGUGAAAGGCAUAAGGAGUUUUCUGGGACAUGCUGGGUUCUAUAGAAGAUUCAUCAAGGAUUUCUCCAAGGUCGCAAAGCCUUUGAGUAAUUUGCUCAACAAAGAUACGGAAUUUAUUUUUGAUGAAUCAUGUUUAAAAGCUUUCCUAGAACUCAAAGAAAAAUUAACCACCACACCCAUAAUUGUCGCUCCUAAUUGGUCGCUUGAAUUUGAACGCAUGUGUGAUGCAAGCGAUUAUGCGGUUGGUGCGGUCUUAGGCCAAAGGAAGAACAAAAAUUUCCAUGCUAUACAUUAUGCGAGCAAAGUUUUAAACGAGGCACAUGUUAACUAUGCCACUACUGAAAAAGAGUUGCUCGCAAUUGUAUUUGCAUUGGAAAAGUUUCGUUCUUACCUUAUUGGUUCGAAAGUAGUGUGUUAUACUGAUCAUGCCGCAAUCAAAUAUCUUCUCACCAAGCCUGAUUCAAAACAGAGGCUUAUAAGGUGGAUUCUUCUGCUUCAAGAAUUUGAUCUUGAAGUGAGAGAUAAAAAAGGGACAGAAAAUUUGAUUGCGGAUCAUUUAUCUCGGUUAGUGAAUACCGAGGUAACAAAACAUGAAAAAGAAGUGAGGGAUGAAUUCCCGGAUGAAAAACUGUUCAUGGUUCAAAAAGUUAGACCCUGGUUCGCGGAUAUGGCUAACCAAAAAGCAUCCGGCUGGAUACCCGAGGAUCUAACUUGGAAUCAAAGAAAAAAGUUUUUGAAUGAUGCAAAUUUUUAUGUCUGGGAUGAGCCUCACUUGUUUAAGUUAAGUAGUGAUAAUCUUUUGACAAGAUGUGUCGCUGAUGAGGAAACAAAAAGCAUUUUUUGGCAUUGUCACAACUCGCCGUAUGGUGGUCAUUAUAAUGGUUUGCGUACGGCCACAAAAGUCCUGCAAUUGGGAUUUUGGUGGCCUACUUUGUUCAAAGAUGCUUACCACCAUGUUGCAUCUUGCGACAGUUGUCAAAGAACGGGUGGAAUUGGGAAAAGAGAGGAAAUGCCCCUCCAAAGUGUUUUGGAGGUAGAAGUAUUUGAUUGUUGGGGCAUUGACUUUGUUGGACCAUUCCCUUCCUCUAUGUCAAAUGAAUACAUCUUGGUAGGUGUAGAUUACGUGUCGAAGUGGGUUGAAGCGAUUGCUUCACCCAAAGCGGAUGGUAAGACCGUGAUCAAAUUUUUGAAGAGAAAUAUAUUUUCACGGUUUGGCACGCCAAGAGUGUUGAUUAGUGAUGGCGGAUCUCAUUUCUGGAAUGCCCCGCUUGAGAAUGUGUUGGAGCAAUAUGGAGUAAAGCACAAGAUAGCUACUCCAUAUCAUCCACAAACUAAUGGGCAAGUUGAGAGGACCAAUAGAGAGAUAAAGAGAAUUCUUGAGAAAACCGUGUCUAGCUCUAGGAAAGAUUGGUCGUUGAAACUGGAUGAAACCUUAUGGGCGUAUCGGACUGCUUUCAAAGCCCCGAUCGGCCUUACACCAUUUCAAAUGGUGUAUGGUAAAAGUUGACAUCUUCCCGUAGAACUAGAACAUAAGGCGUAUUGGGCCUUGAAGCUUUUAAAUUUUGACCACAAGUUGUGUGAUGAGAGAAGAAAAAUCCAACUUCAUGAGUUGGAAGAGAUGAGAUUGCAUGCCUACAAGUCUAAUUCAAUCUACAAAGAAAAGACCAAAUUCUAUCAUGAUAGUAAGAUUAGAAUGAAGGACUUUAAGGUAGGACAACUGGUGUUACUUUUCAAUUCCCGGUUAAGACUUUUUCCGGGAAAGUUGAAAUCGAAAUGGUCAGGACUGUUUCUGGUCAAAGAAGUUAGAAGCCAAGGGGCUGUAGUGAUAGAGGACCAUAAAACUAAGCAAGAGUGAGUUGUUAACGGUCAUAGGUUAAAGGUUUAUCGACGGAGUGAUUUUAAUCGUGAAACAUGUGUUUUAUCGUUUGGUGAUCCUUGAUUGCCUUUAACCGUCGAGCUGACCGACGUUAAACAAAGUGCUCUUGGGAGGCACCCCAAGUUGUAUAUAUUCACUUGUGUUUGUGUUAUUUUUGCAGGUGGGAUUUUUGUGUUGUCGUCGAGCCAGAACUGAUUUACCGGUAUUUUAGGGUGUGCUGAUAAAAGUAAUUUUUCUGCUGUUUCUGGUGUAGCGCGCGCCGCCCCCAAAAGCGCGCGUCGCGCGCUUAGUGACUUCAAUUACCCCUUCUAGGCAGAGAUGAGGGCGCGUCGCGCCGAUUUUGCGCACGUCGCACGAUGUACGUAUUUUUGAAAAAAAAUAAUUUUUGUUUGGGCCCACCCAUGCUGGGCCCGACCCAAACCGAGUUUAGAAAGGAAGUUUGGGUUUUGGAGGUCUGUUGCCUCCAUCAUUCACCCUUUUCCUCUUUGUUUCAAGAAAGAAAAAACAAAACACACACAAAGCUCUUAGUUUCUCGUGCAAAUUUCCUCACUAAUUUUCAUCUCUCCAUUGUCAUCAUCAACAAAGAUAUGGAACCUCUGUUGAAAAGAAAAAAGGCUGGUUUUGGUGAGGGAUCUUCCUCACAGGCUGCUAGAUUUAAUCGGUCAAAAUUUCAAGGACCGGAUCAGGAGGCUAGGUACCAUGAUCUUGAAAGCCGUGUCGUGUGGAGCGAGCGCACGGUAGUUCCUGUGGACCACGACCACUUCCAAAGGGCGUGGACUGCUUUGUCUGACACUUACUGGGACAAAUUGUUCACUCCAGGGAAAUUCUAUCAGGUGGAGAUUGUUAGAGAGUUCUAUGCAAACGCUUUGCCUCCGAGCAAUUGGGUAGGCACUGAAGCAUACCCGUUUACAACAUGGGUAAGAGGUAAGGUCAUUGACUUUAGCAAAGAUGCAAUAUUCGAUUAUCUUGACAAUCCUCUGGCUUUGGUGGAAGAAUGUGAGUACCAUCCCAAGUUGAAUAUAGACAAUUGGGAUGUGUCAUACCCCAAUUUUUGACCUAAGAUACCAUCUCCUAUCAUUUGCAUAUGCAUCAUUUACAUCUCUAACAAAUUGCAUAGCUUGUGUUUGUUACUUGUGACUCAGCAGGAUUUAAUCAGGAAAUCACCCAUCAGUACAAGUAACAAUCAAUUAGGGUUUUGUUCUCCCUUCAUCUCAAAUGAAUCAUCUUCAUCAAUAAUCAACAUUUGGUCCUCAGAGAUUCAUUUCAACAAGCUCAACAGCUUUGAAUCGACUGAAUUAGGGUUUUGACUGAAGACAGCACACUCCUGACUUUUGCUCAGAAUUUGACCUAAUGGCUUGGGACAUGAUAUCAAGACCUCAAGUGCAUCAUUUUGACCUAAUCCAUUGGCUCAUAACAUCUCCUACACAAAGAUUGAUCUGGCAAAUCCUCAGAUCAGGGUUUUGAACUAUCAGGGACCAAAAUCAGGGAUCACAUUUGGGAAACCCUAAAAACCCCCAGGGAGUCAAUCAAAGGUUUCAAUCAUCUUCAAAUAAUCCCUAUGACAACAUCCAAUGGAAAUUACAUCUCAAUUCAAGAUCCACAGUCAUCAAUUUCAUCUGGUCGACAAUUAGGGUUUUGACCUGAUUCACUGAAUAACUGACUUUUUAAUCAGGACAUGGUGCCACAACUCAAACCAUGGAUCAAUAUCCUCUAAUGCUUCAAUAUGAUCCAUUCACACCAUUCAUUUGAUGAGGAUAGCCUGUUUCAUUGAAAACUCCAGAAACGCGAUUCGUCUGAAAAAGUCAACUAUACAAGAUCACCAUUGACUUUUGGGGAAUUUUGGUCAACCAUGACUUUUGAAGUUUUUUAUCAUCAAUAUAUGAUAUGAGAAGUCAUUUGAUCAAGAAAAAUCAAGAAAAUCAAUCAAGAAUCAAAAAGUCAAAAGUUUGACUUUCAUACUUAGAAAAAUUUCUAAGUGUUUUUCAAUGGUUUUUUCCAAACUUUGAAAGGGAAUUUCUCAAAAUUUCACCUACAAACUGAAAAAAACUUCCAACAUGAAAGUUGUAGAUUUUGAUCCAAUAAACAACUUUGACACAUAUAAAUUUUUUCCAUAAGAUCAACCAUUUAAGAGAUAUGGUGCUUCAAAGUUGGUACUUUUUGAAAACUUCACUUAAAACUUCAUUUUCUUCAAAGUUCAUGGAACUUUUUCACCCAUUUCCUUAAGAGACUUGAGGAAACUUUCAACUAGGCUUUUGAAGUAUGUAAUAUGAGCUUUCCAAAAUGUCAAAGAGCAUGAAAAAAUAUGGAGUGUAGGUAUGGUUUUGAAUUAUGCAUUUAGUGAUCAUUUUCACUUGAAUUUUCACCAUUUUUCACUAAGUUUCAAGACUACAUGACCUAUAAUCCAAGCAAUGAUGCAAAGAGGCAAUAAUUGAAGAGAUAUUUUCUGAUAUAAGAUCAGAAUGGAAGAGGAUAAGAAGCUUGGGAUUUAACCAUGGUUUAGUAACUUUUAACCAUGUGCAUUAAAUGUAAAGAUUCCAUUUUAUCUUCAAAUGCCAAAUCACCAAUUCUUGAUCAACUUGCAAAGCUUUGUAUUCAGAAACCUUGGCCUAUAAAUAGAGGUCCAAACUUCAUUGCAAAUCACACCAAAACCUCACAAUUAUAGGUUUUCUCUCUUCUUUCUUGAAUUACAAGUCAUGUGUUUCAAAGUGAGGUAGAAAACUCAACCUCCAUCUCUUGCAAGUUCUGACCAAAGUGAUGCUUCCCACAAACCACAAACAUCAUAUGGGAUGUGUUUGAUCCAUCCAUACACCCCAAAUCACCCUAAAUCUCAGAAUCACUCUUCAACCACCAUAUUUGCAUAAAAUGAGCCUUAACAUAUCAAUUCUCAUACCAGGCCAUAUCUGUCCAAGUUAAUCAUCUAAACACACUCCAUAUACUUUACAUGAACUGUUCCAACCAUCAUACAUGAUCUGAAACAUCAAAAUCAACUAACUUGAUCCUCACUUAAGCUAAACUGCAGUUCGGGUACCACAAGGUGAUCAAGAGGUUUCCAGUUCAUUCCAGGCAUUCAAACACAUCACAUAAGGUCCAUUGAAGCUAUCCAGAUCAUCACAAAGCAUCUGUAACACCUCCAGGCACGAUUUCAAUUUCCAGUUUGGCCGUUUUUGAGGUAAGUGCUCAUGAACUUCAAACUCCAUCAUACAUGCAUCAUAAAUGAAAAAUGAACAUACCAUCUUGUUUCUGCACCUAUGAGGAUCAUUAACCCUCAAUCAAUUGCAUCAUAACAUGAUCAUACACGAUUUCACAUUGAAUUUCAGUUCUAGGGUUCUUCGUGUUCAUCAGAAAAUUGAUAGCCUUAGAGUGAAAAUAAAUGAAAUUAAAGAUCACCAUCAUGUUCCUUAUGAAAAAACGAGUGAGAUAGACUAUCUACUUGAUCAAAACAAUCCAGUUUCAAAGAUUUUCAAAAAUCAAAUGGGGAUGGUGUUCUUGGCGCGUUUUUUGUUCAGAAAAUUCAAAUUCUUGUUUUCCAAUAUAACUAAAUGGACGCGUGUAUGUUACAAGCCACAAGCGUGGCUCAGUUGGCUUUUGUUUUGAGAAAUAACCUCCAGGUCGUGGGUUCAACACCCUUAGGGGCCAAAACCUCUUUUUUAUCAUUUUUUUUCUUAUUUUUCUUCACAACUUCACCAUUUGUUUUAACCAAUCAAAUUAACUCAUUUUUUAUUCAUUUUUUAAACACUUCUCAUUUAAUAUAUGUAUUUUAUGAAUAUCCAAAAAAAAUCACAAAAAAAGAUUUAUUUAAUAUGUUUUUAAUUAGGUUUAAAAUGAUACAUUUUUAAGUGUUUUUAAUUACUUUAAAUAUCGUUUUUCAUUUAAUUUUUAACCUAAUCACUUGUAAAUAUUUUUUGUGAUCAAACCCUAAUCAUUUAGGUCUUAAUUAAGCAUUAAAAUUUGUUUUAACUUAAUUAAAUUGACUUUUGUCAAAUUCAAAUCGUUUUAAAACGAACGAUCGCGGUUCUUUUCAAAAACAAUGAACCAUUUCUUUUUGAAACUUUUGAUUAAAUCUUUUAAUUGAUCAAUUGGUUUUCAAAACGAUGUGGGGCCUCUCGAAUAUUAGAGAGUAUAAGACCCACUCUUUUUUCUUUUAUACAGUUUUUCUUUGUACAGAAAACUCUUUCAAAACAAAAUCUUUUCAAACAAUUUUCAAAUCAUUUUCAAAACAACCAAACUUCAAAUUAUUCAAAACUUUUCAAAUAUACCAUGGGCCUCCACGUAGGUAUAAGUCCCAAGCCCCUUUUGUACAUACCCAUUCCAGUACAUGAAAUUAGGUAUUUCAUUGUACGCCUUUCUGUACAUACAUUUUUUGUACAUACACUUUUUGUACAUACUCCUUUUUGUACAUAUCUCAAUCAAUUUGUUUUUAACUUUGAAUAACAAACCAAAAAUGAAGGUUUUCUUUAAAUCUUCCCAAAAAAUAUACCAUGGGCCUCCAUGUAGGUAUAAGUCCCAAGCCCUUUUGUGAAUACCUGUUUACAUAGCUUUGAAUAAACUCAAGUGGACCUCUCCUCGAGUAUAAGUCCCGAGCCCUGUGUAUACAAAUGGAUCAUGCUUACAGGUAUAUUUCCUUCAUAAACUCCAUUAUAUACACACACUUUGUCAUAUAUAACUGUUCAUAUAACUGUUCAUAUUUGUUCAUGUACUUGUGCAUAUUUGUUUGUACUUGUUCAUACUUGUGAUUGUGUUAUAUAUGCUUGUUCAACUUAGUACAACACUAGGUUCCCCAUAGCCUCCUAUUGGGCUUCGUGCAAAGAAUCUCCACUAGUUUAGGUUAGGACAUAGAGUAUGGUUUCCCGGUGAAAUCGCUCUAAUAGCUCAAACCAACUAUACCACGCCUCCCCUUGGGCUUUGUACAAACGAGUGACCCUCCCAUAGCCUCCUCUUGGGCUUACAAUGCAAGGACCCUGGAUUAUCCCUCCCAUAGCCUCCUCUUGGGCUUACAAUGCAAGGACCCUCGGAUAGCCUCCUCUUGGGCUUCGUACAAGGACCCACGGGCUUCUUAUAAGCAUCCCCAAUAUCCAAAACCAAAUACCCUAGGAGAUUAGACAUUUUUCAUCUCUAUGCUAGGAGUAUCUCUUAUAUAUCAUCACAAACAAUCAAUCAAUCAAACUUUUUUGCCACAAGUCUGGCUAAUCAAUCAAUCUUCUUUUUGCCACAAGGCUGGCUAAUCAAUCAAACCGUUUUACCACCGUACUGGAUGAUUAAUCAAAGUUUUUGUCACAAGGCUGACUUCAUUGAAACUUUUGCCACGAGGCUGGCUGAUUAAUCAAAACUUUUUGUCACAAGGCUGACUUCAUUGAAAGUUUUUGCCACAAGGCUGGUUAGACAAACAAAAAAUCAAACAGAUGUAUGUGAUGAUAUAGAUUAGAUACAUCUAGCAUUUAGACGACAUUUGUCUAUUUUCCUUUGCUUCCACUAGCAUAAGUGGGAACUACGAUUGCUCUGACUUUCUCAACAUCCCUUUGAGAAUACGUAGGCACAAGGUCGAUCCUUGGCGAGCAAAACAAAACAAAAAAAACCAUUCAAACCUUAGCACCCGUAGACCCCGAGCUACAGAUGCUCUGAUUCCCUUUAAGGGAUAUGUAUGCAGAGGAUCGCGAUGAUCUUUGUGAGCAUAAUCAAACAAACACCUUAGGUCCCACCUAUUUCAACAAGAACCUCUCAACAAGAAUGGAAUGAAAAACAAAGUAAAGAACCCUGUAGAGUACUACAGAUACGUUGGGUGCUAAUACCUUCCCUUCGUAUAACCAACCCUCUUACCCAAGAUCUCUCCCCCCACUUUUAGGUUAUUGCAGCUUUUUUCCUUUUCCUCCUUUGGAAAUAAUAAAAAGUUUGGUCGAAAUAAAAGAAAAAUCAUUUUUAUGAGCACUUGAGCCCAAAGAAGGCAUCAGGUGUCUCAUCCCACAAAAAAGAGGAACAAAACGAUUUUUCGCCCGCGACAGAAAAAUGGCGACUUCACUGGGGACCAUCUUUUUAUUGUUUCCAAAGGAAGGGUUAAUUCUAUUUGCUUUAUUUUUUAUUUCAUUUUUUUGUUAUAUGUGUGGUUCUGGUUCUGUUACUUGUGUGGUUCUGUUACAAGUGAUACAUUAUGGACAAAUCCUAACCCGGAUUAAGUACACAUAAGAAAUUAGGUGGAGGGUAUAGUCAUGUGCAGGCGCACGUGAGAAUCCUUCCGCUCAGUGGAGGUUCCUUGUUGGUAAUAUAUGUUUAGCAUGUUUCGUAGCGAAGACAUUAUUACUUUCAUUGAACUGUAGAAGCUGAGAGACCGUAGAACCCCAACCCAUCCUGGCCUUAUUAGGUUGUGGUGCAGAAACUAUUCAGGUGAAGACUUGGAUUAGUUGUCAUGCGGAGAACCACACUCAGACGAGUUUUUCUUGAGAAUAUUACUGGCUCAUGAGUUUAAUUGUGGAAGGCCGGUAAUAUCCGAAAGAAAAAUGUAGACUCUGACGUAUCAGUAGAACAUGUCAUGCAGGUGAUUAACUAGAUCUAUCCCAUUUUUGGUUCUCUGACCUCAUGCUCGUGACUUUGGACCUUUGAACUUAUGCGUUACCAUGUUUGUGUACCAUGUUUGUAAUACCAUGUUAGUGUUACCAUGUUUGAACUACCAUGUUUGCUUAACCAUGUUUGAAUAUAUGGCAUCCAUGCAUCCAUGCAUUCAUACAUUCAUUAAAAAAACCCAUCUUUUUCCAUAAAAAACAUGAUUUUUCCAAAAAUUUUAGAGAAUUUUCUUUGCAAACAUUAUAGGAUUAAGUUAUGGAAAAAAGGUAUACCAAAAAGUACGGUUUCAAAGCGCCUGAUGUAGAAAGACUGAUAGAGUUAGCAUCUUUCGUACAAGAUCCUUCUAAUUUUAGGAAAAGUUAUGGAAAGCUUUUGCCUAUCCUGAACACUCAUGUUGAUGAAGGACUUCUCAAAACUCUGGUUCAGUUCUAUGAUCCCGUCUACCGGUGUUUUACCUUUCCAGACUACCAGUUGGUACCGACCUUGGAAGAAUAUGCCAAUCUUUUAGGUAUCCCUGUGUCUGACAAAAUACCCUUCAAUGGUUUGGAAGCCAUUCCUAAGUCACACGUCAUUGCAGCAAGUACCCAUUUGAAAAAGUCUGAAGUAGAGAGUAAUUGGACUACCAAAGGAAACCUCCCGGGUUUAACCUCACACUUCCUAAUAAAGAAAGCCUUUGAUUUCAUCGAAACUGGUAGCAUGAUAGCCUUUGAAGCUGUACUAGCCUUGCUCAUCUAUGGGUUGGUUCUGUUUCCCAAUGUCGACAACUUUGUUGAUAUCAAUGCCAUAAAGAUCUUUCUAAUUGGAAAUCCUGUUCCGACUUUACUUGGUGACAUGUAUUUCUCUGUUCAUCAUAGGAAUCGCCAAGGCGGUGGAAUCAUUGUAUGUUGUGCACCUUUGUUGUUCAAGUGGAUUGUUUCACACUUACCUGAGUCUCCUAUUUUCACGGAAAACCGAGAAGGCUUGCGUUGGCCUCGAAGACUUAUGUCUCUUACUAAUAAUGAUAUUCGUUGGUAUACCUUGGCUCGCUGUGGUACAGAAACCAUUGAAAGUUGUGGAGAGUUCGCCAACGUACCCCUCAUUGGUACACAAGGAGGAAUUAACUACAAUCCGGUCCUGGCCCGACGACAACUCGGGUAUGCAAAUUCAGUUAAACCUGCUGGUCCCUCAGUGGAAGGUUACUUUUACCGAGAAGGGGAUAAUCCUAAAAAGUUGAAAGCAAGAAUGAUGAGAGCUUGGUACGACGUCCGAUGGAAAGAAAAAGGUGAGGAAAGAAAUUGCAUUGCCAUGGACGCCUACACCUGCUGGGUAAAGAAAAGAGCCAAGGAGUUCCAAAUGCCUUAUGCUUAUGAAAAACCCAUGUUUCCUGCAGUGUCUCAACGACCCAACAUUCCAGCUAUGGAGGAAUACCAACGCACUUUGGCUAAGAUGAGGACAGAAAAAGAUGCUUGGGAAGAAAAGUUUCGUAGCACUGAGGUGGAAAAUAGAAAGUUGAAGAAAAGAGUGAAAGAUCACGAAGAAACUCUCUACUGUCAAGAUGGAUGGCUCAUGAGCAAAGAUGAGAAGAUUCGCCAGAAAGACGCUGCAAUCAAGAGGUACAUCAGAGAAAGCAAGAAAAAUCUGGAAGGCUCGACAAGCAACGCUCCGACUCCUGAUGAUUGGAAGAAGGUUGUUGACAAGCUGAGAGCUGAAAAGGCCGAAUUGAAAGCUCACUAUGGGAAAGAAAUCAUGAAGCUCAAGCUGCACAAUGCAUUUGGUUCUUCAUCUGAUGAAGAUGCUUAGGAUUUGUUUAGCUUUUUUAUUUAUCAUUUGCUUUUGUAAGGAGCUAUGCUCCAAUGUUGUAACAUUUCCCAUUUAUUCAAUAAAAGAUUUAUUUGUGUUUGCAAGAAAAUAAUCUUUAAAAUAUUUGGAAAAAUCAUAAAUUUCUUUUUGCAUACAUCAUUCUGCAUAUCGAGUCUGUUGUAUAGAGUCUCAUCUUUUGGAUCUUUCUCCAUUAGAUCGUCAAGCUGUCGCGUCUCAAAGUUUCUCGACCGCGCUCGCAAUCCGAUCACAGAUACAAUACUCGUUCAAGCAGAAGAAGAGUAA